rnacentral:rRNA from 1 species
CUACGGGCGGCUCCAGUGGGGAAUAUUGGACAAUGGGCGCAAGCCUGAUCCAGCAAUGCCGCGUGAGUGAAGACGGCCUUAGGGUUGUAAAACUCUUUCGCUAGGGAAGAUAAUGACUGUACCUAGUAAAGAAGUCCCGGCUAACUCCGUGCCAGCAGCCGCGGUAAUACGGAGGGGACUAGCGUUGUUCGGAAUUACUGGGCGUAAAGAGUUCGUAGGCGGACUGACAAGUUAGAGGUGAAAUCCCAGGGCUCAACCCUGGAACUGCCUUUAAAACUGUCAGUCUAGAGACCGGAAGAGGUUAGGGGAAUACCUAGUGUAGAGGUGAAAUUCGUAGAUAUUAGGUGGAACACCAGUGGCGAAGGCGCCUAACUGGUCCGGUACUGACGCUGAGGUGCGAAAGCGUGGGGAGCAAACAGGAUUAGAUACCCCGGUAGUC